rnacentral:tRNA from 3 species
GGAGGGGUGUCCGAGUGGUCGAAGGAGCACGCCUGGAAAGUGUGUAGGUCGCAAGGCCUCGAGGGUUCGAAUCCCUCCCCCUCCGCCA